UACGGAGGAUCCAAGCGUUAUCCGGAAUCAUUGGGUUUAAAGGGUCCGUAGGCGGUCUUAUAAGUCAGUGGUGAAAGCCCAUCGCUCAACGAUGGAACUGCCAUUGAUACUGUAAGACUUGAAUGCUUAGGAAGUAACUAGAAUAUGUAGUGUAGCGGUGAAAUGCUUAGAUAUUACAUGGAAUACCAAUUGCGAAGGCA
rnacentral:rRNA from 1 species